GACGAACCGUGCGAACGUUGUUCGGAAUCACUGGGCUUAAAGGGCGCGUAGGCGGGCUGUCAAGUCUGGGGUGAAAUCCCACGGCUCAACCCGUGGAACUGCCUCGGAUACUGACGGCCUCGAGGGAGGUAGGGGCGUGCGGAACUGUGGGUGGAGCGGUGAAAUGCGUUGAUAUCCACAGGAACUCCGGUGGCGAAGGCGGCACGCUGGACCUCUUCUGACGCUGAGGCGCGAAAGCCAGGGGAGCAAACGGGG
rnacentral:rRNA from 1 species